ACCCGUGGCAUAGCCUGAGACCAGACACACACACACACUCUCUCUCUCUCUCUCUCUCUCUAUAUAUAUAUAUAUAUAUAUUUUUUUUUUAAAUAAUCUCUACACCCAAUGCAGGCAAACCCACAACCCCUUGCUCAAUCGUCCCUUGCUCCACCGACCAAGCCAGCCAGGAACCCCUUACUAUUUUCCCUCUUAAGGAUAAAAGGACAUAUGUGUUUUGAAGCUCGAAAGAAAAGAAUAAUUAAGCACAAAGCUUAAAUCAAAAAGAUGUCAGUUUUAAACGAAAAACGUGCCCCGACAGAGUAACGCUAUGGAAGUCCAGGUAGUUAAGAAAAAAAAACUGGUCGGUCCAAAAAUCGACAAGAAAGAUCAGCAAACUACAAAGAUCCAGAGCCACUGAAAUAAAAUUGUCCAAAAAAAAAAAAAAAAGAAAGAAAAAGUAAUGCAUUCGAAUGCUUCUUUUCUCGGGACAUCAUAAUAAAAGCAACACGGUCUAGUGUCUUACGCCUUCGUGUGUUUCACAAGGAGAGUCGACAAACGUUAGAGUCGCCUGCCGCAGUCGUUCUGGGUGCUAGCGACCCACCCGCCACCGGCAGGUAAAAGGUUCGGAAACCUCCAGCGAGACCGCGGGCUCACUUCCAGCCUCGUCACGCAGGAGCCAAAGGGCCGGUGUCCGAGGAGCCCUGCCCAUCAUCCGCCUUCGGCGGGCGCACAGGCGGGUUCCCAGGCGACAGACCAAGGGCAGGCUUCAGCCCUACGAUCCGUGGGGAUCCGGCAGCUGCAGACCACAGGCUCCCAACUUUUCACUCCGACCGAAGAAAUGGAGAGAAGUAAGAGGAGGAAAUAUGGAGUAAAAUCAGAAGACUGUUCUAACUAAAGACCAAGAGCCUUGCCCUGUGACUUCUCUUUAGGAUUCUACAGAUCUUCAUCAAGUGCUUCCGUGUAAGUGGGUCUUUUGUGAAAGCAGUGAAGAGAUGGGUUUCCCCUGGAUUAGCCUAGGAUGAGAUAGAACUGUAGAACACAGGUAUAUCUAGGAGUUUAGAGACAUAAUCUGAAGAAAUAAUUUCUAGAACUUUGCAGAGACAAUGGGUAGAACUAUAAAUUCUAUAUGUUAUAAGGUUUAACUGGUGAACAUCUGGAUAUAUUUGUCAUAGCAACAAAUAUCUUGUAGAAUAAAAUAAAGCUUUAUUCUCCA
rnacentral:lncRNA from 12 species